rnacentral:rRNA from 1 species
CAGUAGCCGCGGUAAUACGUAGGGUGCAAGCGUUAAUCGGAAUUACUGGGCGUAAAGCGUACGCAGGCGGUUAUAUAAGUCAGAUGUGAAAUCCCCGGGCUCAACCUGGGAACUGCAUUUGAGACUGUAUGGCUAGAGUGUGUCUGAGGGGGGUAGAAUUCCACGUGUAGCAGUGAAAUGCGUAGAUAUGUGGAGGAAUACCGAUGGCGAAGGCAGCCCCCUGGGAUAACACUGACGCUCAUGCACGAAAGCGUGGGGAGCAAACAGGAUUAGAUACCCCUGUAGUCCCUGUCUCUUAUAC